UACGAAGGGGGCUAGCGUUGCUCGGAAUUACUGGGCGUAAAGCGCACGUAGGCGGCUUUCUAAGUCGGGGGUGAAAUCCUGGAGCUCAACUCCAGAACUGCCUUCGAUACUGGAGAGCUUGAGUCCGGGAGAGGAGAGUGGAAUUCCUGGUGUAGCGGUGAAAUGCGCAGAUAUCAGGAAGAACACCCGUGGCUAAGGCGGCUCUCUAGUACGGUACUGACGCUGAGACGCGAAAGCGUGGGGAGCGAACAGG
rnacentral:rRNA from 1 species